rnacentral:rRNA from 1 species
GAACGAACGCUGGCGGCGUGCCUAACACAUGCAAGUCGAACGAGAAGUACGUAGCAAUACGUAUUGUAAAGUGGCGCACGGGUGAGUAACACGUGGGUAAUCUGCCCUUGAGUUUGGGAUAACCCCGCGAAAGCGGGGCUAAUACCGAAUAAGACCACGGGGACCAAAGUCUCUGAGGUAAAAGAUGGCCUCUAUUUAUAAGCUAUCACUUGAGGAUGAGCCCGCGGCCCAUUAGCUAGUUGGUAGGGUAACGGCCUACCAAGGCUAUGAUGGGUAGCUGGUCUGAGAGGACGAUCAGCCACACUGGAACUGAGACACGGUCCAGACUCCUACGGGAGGCAGCAGUGGGGAAUAUUGCGCAAUGGGCGAAAGCCUGACGCAGCAACGCCGCGUGGGGGAUGAAGGUUCUCGGAUUGUAAACCCCUUUCGACCGGAACGAAUUCCCUCCUGGUAAAUAAUCAGGAGGAUCGACGGUACCGGGAGAAGAAGCCACGGCUAACUCUGUGCCAGCAGCCGCGGUAAGACAGAGGUGGCGAGCGUUGUUCGGAUUUAUUGGGCGUAAAGCGUACGCAGGCGGUUUGGUAAGUCAGAGGUGAAAGCCCACAGCUUAACUGUGGCACUGCCUUUGAUACUGCCUUUCUUGAGUAGAGUAGGGGGAAGCGGAAUUCCGAGUGUAGAGGUGAAAUUCGUAGAUAUUCGGAGGAACACCGGUGGCGAAGGCGGCUUCCUGGACUCUAACUGACGCUCAUGUACGAAAGCGUGGGUAGCAAACAGGAUUAGAUACCCUGGUAGUCCACGCCCUAAACGAUGGGCACUAGGUGUGGGAGGUAUCGACCCCUUCCGUGCCGCAGCUAACGCAUUAAGUGCCCCGCCUGGGGAGUACGGCCGCAAGGUUGAAACU